rnacentral:rRNA from 1 species
CCUACGGGAGGCAGCAGUAGGGAAUCUUGCUCAAUGGGCGAAACCCUGAAGCAGCAACGCCGCGUGGAGGAUGAAGGUUUUAGGAUUGUAAAAUCCUUUUGUUAGAGAAGAUAAUGCCGGUAUGUAACGAUUAACGACCGGCUAACUCCGAGCCAGCAGGCGCGGUCAUACGGCGGGUGCAAGCGUUAGUCGGAAGUACUGAGCGUAAGGGGUUCGUAGGCGGGGUAAUAAGUCAGAUGUGAAGUCCUGUAGCUUAACUACAGAAGUGCGUUUGAAACUGUUACUCUGGAGUGUGGGAGAGGUAGGUGGAAGGCGAGGUGUAGGGGUGAAAUGCGUAGAGAUAAAGAGGAACACUCAUUGCGAAGGCGACCUGCUGG